UACGUAGGUGGCAAGCGUUGUCCGGAUUUACUGGGCGUAAAGAGCGCGCAGGCGGUCGUGCAAGUCGCGUGUGAAAGCCCCCGGCUCAACUGGGGAGGGUCACGCGAUACUGCUCGACUUGAAGGCAGGAGAGGGAAGUGGAAUUCCCGGUGUAGUGGUGAAUGCGUAGAUAUCAGGAGGGACACCGGUGGUGUAGACGGCUUUCUGGACCGACACUGACGCUGAAACACGAAAGCGUGGGUAGCAAACAGG
rnacentral:rRNA from 1 species